rnacentral:rRNA from 1 species
GAUGAACGCUGGCGGCGUGCCUAAUACAUGCAAGUCGAGCGAACAGACGAGGAGCUUGCUCCUCUGACGUUAGCGGCGGACGGGUGAGUAACACGUGGAGAACCUACCUAUAAGACUGGGAUAACUUCGGGAAACCGGAGCUAAUACCGGAUAAUAUAUUGAACCGCAUGGUUCAAUAGUGAAAGACGGUUUUGCUGUCACUUAUAGAUGGAUCCGCGCCGCAUUAGCUAGUUGGUAAGGUAACGGCUUACCAAGGCAACGAUGCGUAGCCGACCUGAGAGGGUGAUCGGCCACACUGGAACUGAGACACGGUCCAGACUCCUACGGGAGGCAGCAGUAGGGAAUCUUCCGCAAAGGGCGAAAGCUUGACGGAGCAACGCCGCGUGAGUGAUGAAGGUCUUCGGAUCGUAAAACUCUGUUAUUAGGGAAGAACAAAUGUGUAAGUAACUAUGCACGUCUUGACGGUACCUAAUCAGAAAGCCACGGCUAACUACGUG